rnacentral:rRNA from 1 species
UACGUAGGGUGCAAGCGUUGUCCGGAAUUAUUGGGCGUAAAGAGCUCGUAGGCGGUUUGUUGCGUCGGCUGUGAAAUCCCGAGGCUCAACCUCGGGUCUGCAGUCGAUACGAGCAAACUAGAGUGUUGCAGGGGAGACUGGAAUUCCUGGUGUAGCGGUGAAAUGCGCAGAUAUCAGGAGGAACACCGGCGGCGAAGGCGGGUCUCUGGGCCGAUAUCGACGCUGAGGAGCGAAAGCGUGGGGAGCGAACAGG